rnacentral:rRNA from 1 species
GAUGAACGCUGGCGGCGUGCCUAAUACAUGCAAGUCGAGCGAACGGACGAGAAGCUUGCUUCUCUGAUGUUAGCGGCGGACGGGUGAGUAACACGUGGAUCACCUACCUAUAAGACUGGGAUCACUUCGGGAAACCGGAGCUAAUACCGGAUAAUAUUUUGAACCGCAUGGUUCAAAAGUAAAAGACGGUCUUGCUGUCACUUAUAGAUGGAUCCGCGCUGCAUUAGCUAGUUGGUAGGGUAACGGCUUACCAAGGCAACGAUGCAUAGCCGACCUGAGAGGGUGAUCGGCGACACGGGAACGGAGACGCGGUCAUGACUCCUACGGGAGGCAGCAGAAGGGAAUGUUCGGCAGUGGGCGGAAGCAUGACGGAGCGGCGCCGAGUGAGUGAUGAAGGUCUUCGGAUCGUAAAACUCUGUUAUUAGGGAAGAACAUAUGUGGAAGGAACUGUGCACAGAGUGACGGUACCGAAUAAGAAAGCAACGGCUAACUACGUG